rnacentral:rRNA from 1 species
CUUGACCUCAAAUCAGGUAGGAAUACCCGCUGAACUUAAGCAUAUCAAUAAGCGGAGGAAAAGAAACCAACAGGGAUUGCCUCAGUAGCGGCGAGUGAAGCGGCAAAAGCUCCACUUUGAAA